GUGGGGGUGGGGUGGGGGUGGAACUCUCUUUUUCUCCCUCUCCGCCCCCAGUGGAAUAUCUUGGAUCUCUUUCUCGAGCUCUGUCUCUCAGCUGCCCGUUUAAAGCAAACGCUAACCUUUUAUCUCUCUGAGGUUACUCAGAAUAUAAGCGGGAAAGGCAUUUCUGCCUCACGGGCCAGGAAGAAGCAGUCUCUAGUCCUGCCCUGUAGGGUGUUUGUUAUUAAAGGGGGGCAAUUUUUUGCAUGGGGGUUCAGUUCCUGGCCGCUGUGUGUGUCGGUGGAGCACGUAUAAGCCCCUUCCGCCCUCAUCCAGGUCCAAAAGGACUUGCGCUUUGCCAGUCACUUGUCAUUUAGAUGUGCCGAAAAUGGUUACCACCUGUAUUAUUAUUGCCUAAUAAAUACAAAUGCAUUGGAAUGGCUGGCAAACACUGGGAUGCCUAUGUCUUGUUUAUUUUAAAAAUAUGUUAAUAAUAUACAGAAGCAGAUUUAGGGUACUGGGUGCUGAGUUGAGCAGAGCAUCGUGCAGAACAAAAUGAGAGUUGUGGGGGAGGCACUGAAUUCAGGUCUUGCACAGGGUGCUGCUGAAAUUUGAAAGACUAAAGUCUGUACCUGCUAAUAAGGUCUGUGUUUUUCAGCUCUUGUAUUGUAAACUGCCAUGUGAUCUUAGGAUGAAGAGCGGUGUAUAAACCAAAGAAUAAAUAUAUCUUAAUACAGUGAA